rnacentral:rRNA from 1 species
GAGCGCAACCCCUAUUGUUAGUUGCCAUCAUUCAGUUGGGCACGUCUAGCGAGACUGCCGGUAAUAAACCGGAGGAAGGUGGGGAUGACGUCAAAUCAUCAUGCCCCUUAUGACCUGGGCUACACACGUGCUACAAUGGCAGGUACAGAGGGCUGCGAAGCCGCGAGGUGGAGCGAAUCCCAGAAAACCUGUCUCAGUCCGGAUUGAAGUCUGCAACUCGACUUCAUGAAGGCGGAAUCGCUAGUAACCGCGAAUCAGCAGGUCGCGGUGAAUACGUUCCCGGGCCUU